CUUUUUUUUUAAUGUUACAUUUAAAAAAUUCUGUGAAAUUGUUCUAUUUAACACCAGGCUGCCUCUGAAACAUUUAGCAACAAACAUGAAUCCAUUAGAAAAGAUUUGCAACCUAGACGAUGAAGUAAAGGUGCCAAAACCUGAGUCCAUGAAUAAUUGUCACUAAAAUGUGUACUAACUGAUAUCUGUGCCAUUUAGAAACACUAAAAAAAAUUGAAAACAAGAAGAGAAACUACUUCUUUAUGGAGACUCCCAAACUGAUCCUACCAAAGUAAAUGAGCUCUCCCCAGUCGGGAACCAAUUGUAAUCAAGUAUUUAUGAAGAUAAUUCUUUCAGGAUCCAAACAGCAGACAUCAGAUUGGAAAAUUAACAGAACCAGGGGGAUGGCUUGUGUCAUAAUCUGGUUUUAAAAUCUUGAUCUCCGUUUUGCAAGAUGCAAUAAGCUCAAAGUAAGGCAUAAAUUAGGAAGUGUGACAAAUGAGACAGUUGCUGAUGGUGAACUGAGAUAGCAAGCAAUGCUAAACCAGCCUGUUACAUCUAGUCACACUAAUCAGAAAUACCAUCCAGAUGAGCUCAGCCAGAAUCUUCAAAAAAAAAAAAAAAAAAAGAAAGUCUAGAUUUAAAGUGUGUUAAAGUAUUGCAUAACUCAUCUGACAUAAUCUGAUCACUGACAAACAAAGAAAGACGUAAUGAUAAUCUCUAUCAUGGCACCUGAAACUUGGUUCAACACAAAAGGCAGUAGGAACAUUUUGUUCUUAAAUGUCCAAAACUUCAGCUCUCAUUCAUGUCAUAGAUUAAGCUCAUUGAUUGUCAUGGGAUGCAAAGGUUGACCAGUGUGGUCUUAUCCAACAAAGGAUAUUUGUUAAAUGUCUUCCUACCCUAUCCUGUUUCCUCCUGUCCUACUACCUGGUAGCUCCAUACUUCACAUUCUUUGUCCAACAUGUCUGCUGUCUAUGUUCUGCACACAUUCCAGCUACAAACAACAGCUGCCUCUCUGUUUUUGCCACCAAACCGCUAAACCUGAGGCAUCCGAGAUAACUCCUUUCUCCUGUCCAUUUUAGUUACUCACAAUAAAAAUCUUGACAUCUUCAGUCAUGCCACUUUUCAGAUCUCCUUCUUGAUCACAACAUGUCUAUUUCACUCUUCUGUAUUAGUAAACUUCAUUCCCCUCUCAGAAUUAAUCUCCAAUUCAUCCAUCUAGCUAAUCUAAACCUUAAGCUAGGUUACCCUUAAGCUAGGGUAGCUAGCCCCUAAACUAGGUAACCUAGUUUUGCAGAUAGCUAUUCUAGCCCCUAAGCUAGAUCAUCUAGUUGCUAGCUAACCCAGCACCUACCUAGUUUAGUCAGAUCCUAAACUAGCUAGCUCGGUCUAGUCUCACUAUGGAUUACAAAAUCUGUGUUGUUGGCAAACAUCACGGAUUAUUAGAAACUUUCAUCCUCAUUGUCUUACAUGUUCUCCAUUGGAUAGUUCUACAUCACACCUAUAGCUAAUAUCAGUGGAAAUGUUAAAACCGAUCCCUUUGAUUACAUUUUCUGACCUUUUCUUACUUGUGUUUCCUGUGUUUUUCUGUCUUACAGUAGACCCCCAGUUCUCAUGGGCAUCAGGCACCACAGCCGCCCGGAAAUACCUCAAAUCUGUGUACCCUUGAGAUCCUCUGAAAGACACUUACAGGCGCUUAUUUUAACAGCUCAAACAUCAAAUAUACCUUGAUAUGCAUUCAUUUGUACAGCGGAAACCGUCUGCAGUCUUCCUUAUUUCUGCUCUUUAUGGUACAGUCAAUCAGCGGUAAGGAAAUAAAAAUGGCACUUCUGGAUUGGUUGAUUUGCAAAUGCCAGCCAAUAACGUGUCAAUUAGAAUUGCACAAAGGCAUUUCAGCUAGCCAGGUUGCAUGUUCUUUUUCAUUUUGUAGAUCUGGCCUACAGAACAGGUGGGUUUUUCGGCAAUAAUUUGGUGUCACGUUCCACAGAAAAAUCCACAAAUAUUGAACUGUGAACAGGCAGGAGUUCACUGUCUGUUAACGUUCACUGUCUAACUGUUAGGUUCUAUUGCAGACAUGGUAGGGCAGCUGUGGCUACAAUCCAGCAGCUUGUCAUCAUCGGCGUGUGAAUGAGUGUGUGAAUGGGAAUUACUGAUUUCAUUGCUAAGCGUCUUUGAAACGUGCUUCAUAAGACUGAUCUCAUUUCAUUUCUGAGUAAGCUAAAGUUUACACUUUAAACAGAAAAAGCAGAAACACAUUCUUAACUUAGUCAGUGCAGCAAAACACAAACUCAUCAAGAGAAGCAUAAAUAGAAAGCCAAUUAUUAUUCAAUGAGCAGAAUUUCCUCAGGACACUGGUCAUUACGCUUAAAUAUUAAUGAUAAUUAAAAUAACAUAAUGUACGCAAAAAACACCUCUGGUCCAGGUACAGUAACGUGAUAAAUCUAGAAUAUUGUUUAGUAAGAAAAAUAAUAUUUCAUUGGGUUGUCCAAUUUUUUUCACUGUGGAUGGAUUGAUGGAUAUCAAAUUAUAUUUCACAUGGUAAAUCACUGCACUACAAGCUAUUAAAUACAUUUUUCAUGAAUGCAGGCAGCAACAGCCUAUUUCGUGGCUCCACGGCGUUACGUACAAGAUAGAUGAGUUACAAUAAAACAGUGAUUUGUCCUCUGAGGCUGUAGUAGAAACAGCUUUGCCGCGUAGAUCACUCCGAGAGCAAAUUGUGAUUGCAUAAUUUUAUUGCCCUGCACUGUGGAGAUGCUGUGCUGUCCUUCGGCUGCACAAACUGAACGUGUGCUGAUAGUAGAUGACACCGUGAGAAAUAAUAUUAACGAAACACUAUUCCUUUAUCUUCUUCGUCAGUGGUCAAAUGUGUUCUCAAAUGAAGGUUGUAAUGUAGCCUGACUACGACGUCACACAACAAAACGAAAAGCUCGCACCUUUAGAAUGAAUUAGCCAUCAGCUAACACUAGGCGAUGAUAAAGCAACGAUGCAGCUCUAUUCCCUCCGCCAGAUGUUUUAGUGCAUGUUUGCACAUAAAAAUUUAUGGAAUAAAGCUUCAGCCUCCAGAGCAUCUUUGAGUUGGCAUUUUUAAUAGAAGACUAAUUGCUAACUUUUACUACCAAGAGAGAAGACGAAAAGACGGUGCUACAAAAGCAAGUUUAACGUACUGUGACCAGUACGAAUUCAUUUCAUCUGCCUUGUCUAACCACAAUAAAGGUUGCAUUUUUGAAUUCAGAUAAAUUCAUAUUGCUGCAGUGAUGUUGGCGCCAGAUGACUAAUCACCGUCAUGAAGUCCAAAUGACACGGAUCUUUCUCCUAUUAACUUGGAUUCCUCUUUUAGAUUUUCUACCAGGCCAAUCAGCAAACAUCAGGAGAACAAUGACUUUGAUUUUCUGUGCUGCUUAAGAAUAAUAGUCUGCCUGUAGUUUUAGCAACAGCAGCAGAGGAGGUGAACGAAGCCGCUCUCUCCGUGUUGGCCCCAUCUGGUGACAUGGGGGAACCCCGCCCCCAUAAAAACACAUGUUGAGAUGAUAUUAAGUUGUGGCCACAACUUGUUAUAAUGAAGUCAUUCCUAAGAUGUCCUAAGAUUAAAUCAUGGCGAUUAUUUUUUUCUCCCGCGCCCAUGUCACCAGACGGGCUCCUUAGCCAAGCCAAAUACUGAAAUAACAUUGUGUAGUCAAUAUCCUGCAAGCUUCGUAGCUAGAAUCCCUAUUUCUGAGGUUUCCUUUCCUCCGUCAUAACCCUAUUACAUGCAUCACAGACAGAGAGUACUAACUGGGUAAAAUUUCAAACCUCAACAGAGUCCAUACUUCCAAGAAGCAAUUGUUUCUCAAUAGCUGAAAAACCCAGAACCUCUGUACAAAGCACAGCGCAGAACAAGGGGCUGGUUUUUACCAGGCUAAUGCUACACUAAAACACACAAUUUUUAAUGGGAACAGAAUAACACUUAAUUAUUUUCAUUAUUAUUUAAACAAGGACCAAACUCAUGUCUUGCUACUCGACAAUACUUGGAAAGACUGUGACUCCACUUACAGCGGCAACAUUUGCUUAUAAUUACCCUAUAAAAUAACAAAAUAGAGAGUUAGGAUGGUAAACUUUAUAUUAUGAAAAUAAGAUGUUAGCUACACGUGUCCCAUGCAGAUUCCAUUAACUUAGAUUUUUAGAAAAUUAUUAUGUAACUUUGCUAUGCCUUGUAAUUCUGUGGCUGCUGCUCUUACUUUGGUAUGCUCCCUCUUGCUUUCUGCACUACAAAUACAACAAUGAUCCUGUGUUGUCUCUGGGUUUUUCACCGUCUCUGGCCCAUUCGCCCCCCUGGCCAUUCAUUCCCAUAUUUCACACGUACAUGUCGCCAUCGUUUCCCUUCCUACUUCUGUGUCGUAGCUGUAAACAAACCAUUUCAUAUCCUUGUAUUUAAACAAAUGCCUAUAUAUAUUUCUUUUUUUUUUGGUAUUUGUGCUUUUGAAUAUGCACCAUGGAGAUAAGGAAUCAUAAAAAAAUGUUUAAGAUUUAAUAUUACACCCUGUUCCCAGACCAGCUGACUCUCUUAAAAUAUUAGCCAUUAUAAUCUCUGAUUACGCCAAGAUAACUGUUCAGAGUAUCUGCAAUAUUUAUCAGUAACAUAGAGUAAGCAUAUUUCCUCACAGAAAACCAUAAACAGAAUAUAGAAAUUUACUAGAAAUCAUUGCUUGUCAAAGAGGCUGCGAAAUGAUUCCAAGGCAGAUUUAAAUGUCCCCACAGCAAGAAAAGAAUUGGGUAUAAAAUUUGUAAAACUGCAUAAUUCUUUCAUGGAAAGGUGUCCUUUCUGAACAUCUGUCUCAUUUUAGUCUGACUUUGAACCAAAUGUUGCUACUGACAGAAAAUAGUGUUGGAGAAAACGCAAGCUACGAUUGUUCUGACGUCCUUAGCCUAGCCUAGCAUUACGCCAGCAGUGCUCAAAUUAAUAGUAUAAAUGUUUGACUUUUAAAGCUAUUCAUGUUGACGCUGUCCCACCUGCUAACGGCUGUUUAAGCAUUUUUCAUUACCAGAACGUGACUUUUUUUUUUUUUUUUUACAGUCAAAAAUUAUCUGUGAAAAACUGUCUGGGUUUCUGUAGUUAUAGUCAGUGCUUAGUUACAGAUUAGCUAAGGUUUGGCUAACCCUUCAUACAUAACGAGUUGUAUAUCACAUUUUAUGCUAAAAUAAUGCCUUCCCCUCAUUAUAUUUUAACAGCUUAUGAUAAGAUGAUAAUGAUUUAGCAUUUUUUCCCCUAAUCAUUUUAAAUUACUUUCUAUGCAAGUAGGCAAAUUUUGCUGAAUUCAGUAUAACGUGCAAACACUUGGAAAAAAUUGUAGUCUACUAGGAAGUAAAUGUUGACUGCAAAGAUCUUAAAGCAGAUAAUUUCGGGAAUUACGCUUGAGAAGCAUUUAGCAACGAGUCUACAUAGCUUUGCUACCAGGUAUUGCCUGCUAUAGAGUGAAAUACAUCAAAGGUUUAUAUAAUUUUGACUAUAUUUUACAUGUCUAACCUACCGUUUUUCUGCUGUAACGUAGCACAACUGUUCAGAUUUUUUGAACAAGCUGCAAAGGGAUUUGCUUCCCGUAAAUGUUGUGUUGUCAGUUCGUGAUGAUAAAUGUGUCAGGAAACAUAAUAUAGACAUUCAUGGUGGCCUCAAAAUCCAUUGAAAACAAAACAACAACAAAAAAAUCAUUGACACAGCUGUGUAACAAACUGGACGUAGCAUACUGGUAACAUUCCACUUUUUAUUACUGGCCUACUUUGUUCAUCUUUUUUUUCCUCUUUUUUUGGUUUUUAUAACAAAAUUCCGUCGUUAAAAAUCUUUCUGUGUUAUACUUUUUAUAGAAAAUAUUUUUAAAAAAGAGCAAUUUACAGUUAUCUUACACUUCAAAUGUCCUCUGGCUUUUUGUUUUGGAACAGAUGUGACUCGUUUUGUUCUUUUGCAGCACAAGGUGUCACAGAAUAUGCAUCACAACAACAGAAGUCACCAUAGCUCAGGGGGAAAAAAAGGAACUUCUAAAAAUACGGAGACUUCAUACAAGAAAAAGAAGAAAAACAAACAAAAAAGGAAAUACAUGCAUACAAACAACACAAUGCCAUGCGAACACAGUUCAUUUUUGGGAAGUAAAUUAGUAAAAUUUGCAUUUCAGUACCGUUAUUCAAACAUUUCAUGCCAUCUCGCUAUAUAUACAUGACAUGGGUUUUACAGUAUGCGACAUUCACUGCAUCUGCUGUGGCAAAUGGCUACAAAAAGGCCUAAUUCUUCUGCAGGGGCAAUGUCUCGUCGAUGAAAUUGCAACUUCAGUGAGAAAUUCACACAAACGUUCUAACCCCGCUAACAGUGUUCAUUCAUAGUAGACUAUUGGGAAAAAAUUUUCUCUCUCGCUGUCUCUCUCUCUUUUUUUUUUUUUUUUUUUACUUCUGUCCAAAAUUUUGAAAUCAAGUUAAGGUGCACAUAAAUGUGGGCUCAGUAAUAGUCGGAUAAUUAAUAACUAAAAUGUUUGCUAUCCUUCGUGAAACAAUGCAUUUUCCACAAUGAAAUUUGCUUCUGCAUGAAGAUUGCAACGCCGCUUCCAAAUGCGGUAUUAGUGGAGCUGUACAAGGAAACCUCACCGUGUUGGUGCUGGUACAAAGAAACAAAACAGGAACUCUUUCCUCUAAACCAGCUUUAGCAGCCCUCUAGGAAGAUAUCGACUGGCAUCAGCUAUAUCUGCGCACAUAUGGGGCCCCCUCUAUUUAUUACAUGCCACCAGCUAAGACUUGCCUGCCAGAGGUCAUCUGUUGGGGUUUGUUGUGGGAGUUCAACAGGGACACUCAUCAAGCUGUGGUAGAGGAAGAUAAUGCUGUUUACCCUGGGAGGUGAAGGUACCCAUUUUAGUAUGUGUAGAGGACAAUGUAAUUAUUACUUAUGCAAUUUUAUUUGAUGUUUCGCAGCAAAGAGAAUUCAGUAGUUGCUAGGCAUGGGCUUUGUUCUAUGUCAAAUAUACCAAAGGUUAAAAGUCAAAACGAAGUCGAAAACUGCCAGCCUGGUCAUCAUUUUCCUUUACCUUCCUAUACAAUUCUCAUCUCCCUUCAGUGCUCCGUUUGGGGUUUCUCCCAUUGAGCUGGAUUUUUCCGGUAGGAUUUCAACCAAUCAGCGAACACAGGGAGGAGUCUUGACUUUGAUAUUCUGCGCUGUUUUAGAAUUGGAAUCUGCCUGUAGUUUUAGCAAUGGCAGCAGAGGAAGUGAACGAAGUCAUUCAAUUUGCUUUGGCUAUGCUCCCAAAUUUUUAAAUGAACAUUUAUAGCCGUCCUGUUUGGCUCAGCACUUCUAUUCUGGCAGUGGUGGAUGGAUUUUACAGCCCUGGCAAUUGAGCCAUAGCAUGGAGCCAAAUCACUAAACCCCAAAUUGUUUUUGUUGUCAUGGCCAAACGUUGGCGAUUGGGUAAAAUUAAAAACUUGAACAGAGUCUACCCUUACAGCAAGAAAUCAUUUUUCAAUGCCCGAGUGUCCAGACCCUCUGGUUUGGUUUUUGGGACUGGUUUUUACCAGGCUAGGAAACUGCUAAAAUGUCCUAAAAUGUCACGUUCCCACAGUUGAAAUUUUGUUCAAAGAGGAGCUAAUUACAGUGUCAUAGAUAGAACUUAAGAGUUUUCUUUUAUUCGUUUGGGGUUUAGAGUAGGGCUUCCUGCUCCAUCCUGCGUGCCAGAAGAAGAACCAAAAUCCUCAUAAUGUUUAGAGACAAGGUUAAGCCGACUGCUUCUGAAACAGAUCAGGCACAUUGUUUUCAAAAGAAGGGAUCAACAAUCACUGUUUUUUUUUUUUUGUGGGGAGGUUCCGAGGGUUUUGAAGAUGUUUGGAAUAAUUUUGAAACAAACGUUAGCAACAGGCUAUGUUUUGUUAGCAUCUAUGAAGUAAAACAAAUCCCCCAACAGUAAAGUUAUUAUUUUCUGUGACGUCCAUUCG